UGCGGGGGGAGCAAGCGUUGUUCGGAUUUACUGGGCGUAAAGCGCGUGUAGGCGGCUUGGCAAGUCGGAUGUGAAAGCCCACGGCUCAACCGUGGAAGCGCAUCCGAAACUGCUUCGCUCGAGUCUCGGAGAGGAAGGUGGAAUGCUUGGUGUAGAGGUGAAAUUCGUAGAUAUCAAGCAGAACACCUGCGGCGAAGGCGGCCUUCUGGACGAUGACUGACGCUGAGACGCGAAAGCGUGGGGAGCAAACAGG
rnacentral:rRNA from 1 species